rnacentral:lncRNA from 1 species
AUGACCCCCAAGGACCCCCACGGCAAGACCCAAGAGCCCGGGACUGCGGGAGGCCUGACCAUGGCUCGGGAAUCUGGAGAUCCAGCUCCUGAAGCUCUUUCCCAGCUCUUCUCCUCUCUGCACCUCUGUCCCUCUUCCCCUGUACCACAGGACAGCAGAAGGAGACGGUUUUUAAUGAGGACUGCUCGGUCCCUGAUCGCCUGCCGGCACCUGCUCUCGUCUCACCUGUCUGGUUCUCUGGAGACGGGGAGUGCGUCCACACUGCCUGUCCACAUUACUGCCUUCUGCCUGCACUGCUGGAACUGUGCUUGAAUUUGUUAAGACACCUCCUUCUGCAUUUAUGUGUUUAUUAUAACCGUGUUUUGGUCUGAUUCACAUGUCCUACAUUCUAAAAAUGCU